GAUGGCUUUACAACCGAUUGAGGAAAUCACUGUGCAAAAUAUUAGAGUUGAGAAAAAGCGAGACCUCAAACUUCAAAAUACUAGAGGUGAACAAGUUACAGUAACACUAUGGGCAGAAACUGCAACAAGUUUUCAAGACGAUGCAUUGCAGUCACUUUCGUCGCCUCUCUUCAUUGUUUUGACUUCACUCAAAGUGAAGAAAUACAAAGGAAAACCUGUUUUGGGGAGCACAGGCUCAACAGUUUGUAUUUUCAAUCCUGAUAUCCCACAACUUUCAGAAUAUAAACAACAGUUUGAACACCUCAAAACACCCAUUGAAAUUCUACAAACUUCUGCUGAAAAGUAUGGAAAGGGUGCUGUUAUAGCUGAUUCUGAACAGAAGACAAUUGAACAACUGCUUCUUCUUGAUCCGGCA